UCAGCUCGUGUCGUGAGAUGUUGGUUAAGUCCCGCACGAGCGCAACCCUGCAUCCAGUUGCCAUCGGGCGAGCCGGGCACUCUGGAGGGACUGCCGGCGACAAGCCGGAGGAAGGUGGGGAUGACGUCAAGUCAUCAUGGCCCUUAUGUCCAGGGCGACACACGUGCUACAAUGGCCGGCACAGCGGGAAGCGGAGGGGCGACCCUGAGCGGAUCCCUUGAAAGCCGGUCCCAGUUCGGAUUGCAGUCUGCAACUCGACUGCAUGAAGUUGGAAUCGCUAGUAAUCGCGGAUCAGCCAAGCCGCGGUGAAUACGUUCCCGGGCCUU
rnacentral:rRNA from 1 species